GAUCCUGGUCGUCUAUCAAUUAUUCCCGACAAACACUGUGACUGAUUGGAUUUUAGACCACGUUGAUACCAUCCAUCAUUAACAAAGUUCACAGAUCAAUGGUCAGGAUCAUCCAAUCAAGUUGAAGCAAAGUUGCCCCACGCGGCUACGCGUGUAAUUUUCUUGCUCUUCAAAAAUAUCAAACCUUGUGUUAGAAACUUAGAAUUGUUGUGGAAAAAAAGAUAGAGAACAAAAGUCAGCGGCAUGGAAGUCAACCACAUUUCCUACUCUCAUCCUCCCUGCUCUUCCGAUUCAAACCCUAACCCUAGAAUUCUCCUCCCCCGCCAUGGUGACUUCCGAUGCUCUCCCGUCCCCUCGGGCUUCUCUGGCCUAUCCCAUCUUUCUCGCUCUCGUCUCCUUUCCCUUCGUGUCGUGAAGCUCAUCCGAAUCCGGUGUAUCUCUUCUUCUCUCCACUCUUCCAACGCUUCCGCUGUAGCUGAAAAGCCCUCUACUUCAUUGAAGACUGGUAAAUGGCAAUGGAAAUUUGAUGGCAAUUCUGUCAACAUCUACUAUGAGGAACAUGAGGGGAAGAGUGCUGCCAGUGCCAAGAAUAUUCUAAUGGUACCUACGAUCUCAGAUGUUAGCUCUAUGGAGGAAUGGAGAACAGUUGCUAAAGAUAUUGUUCAGUGAGAUUGAGGAGUUAAAUACCAUGCUACCAUAGUUGAUUGGCCUGGUUUGGGUUAUUCGGAUAGGCCUUCACUUAAUUACAAUGCUGAUCUCGUGGAAGAUUUCUUAGUUCAGUUUAUGCAUGCUCCAGAUAGCCCUUUGACACCUUCAGCUAUUUUCUUAGCUGGAUGGGAAGAUACAUUGGUUGUAUCAACUGCAAAUGCUCCCAAGAGGUCCAAGGCUAAGAUGGAUGAUCUCAAGGAGGCCAAAGGUGUUGCCGUAUUUGUGGAGGUACCAGGGGCCCUCCUACCACAGGAGGAGUAUCCUUUUACAGUUGCCAAAGAGCUCCACAAGUUUUUGCAGAAGAGUUUUGCAGCAAGGAGCUGAUGAAGAUGCCAAUUCUGAACAAUAGCAAUCCAAUUUGUUGUUCUUUACAAAUUUAUAUUUUCUUACUUGAAUAAUAAAUUCAUAAAAUUAGAAGUUAAUCUCAGAAUUGGGAGUUUUUAAAGUUUUGGAUUUACACCGACUAAAAAUUAGUCUCUGUUAUGCUUUAUUUCAUUGUGAUCCUUUUAUGGCUUUUUAUGAAGCUUAAAUGUCAAAAUGCAUUUGAAAUGUUACACACAGGAGUUUUCCAUACUCCAUAAAGUUUUUAAAAUGGUAUUUUCUUGAAAGAAAGAGAAAAAGAAAAAUGUCCAAGACCUUCAAUGAAGAGAGAGGCAACAACAUGAAGUCAGAGAAGGAUAGUUGAGGCCUUGAAUCACAAAAUGCUACCCUGCUGCUUUUAAAUUUUAAUGAUUAAUAUUUACCUGAAGUAACUCAGUUGUGGUCGAGACUGUCAACAUGUCAGAUUACAAGUAUCACAUCCAAGAAGAUUUGCAUUCACAUGGGAAGCUAAUCGUAUGUGCAUCAAUUCAGGUUUGCCUAGGAUCCAGACCCCAUCAUUAUUGGAUUUUAAACUUGUAUUUG